rnacentral:lncRNA from 1 species
UUGCUUUGGCAUGGUACUUUUUAGAAAGUUAAUGCCUCCUCCAUUCAAUGUCAGAUGCUUCUAUUAUUCACAUUCGCCGUCGGGAUAAUUGAGUUGCAUAUUUAGUGACACAUGAACCUCUUCUUUACUUUGACUCUUCUCCCUGUAGUUUAGAUCUUCACAAUGGUUAUCCAUUAUAAUUUUCUUUCUUAUCUUGUAUAACAAGACUGUUACCUAAAAAAACAUAAAAAAAACUCCUAAAUGCUCAUUAAAGAAAACUCAUUAUUUUACCCAAUCAAUUCAACCAUCCAAAUCUUACCACGUCAUUAGUCC